rnacentral:rRNA from 1 species
UACGGAGGAUCCAAGCGUUAUCCGGAAUCAUUGGGUUUAAAGGGUCCGUAGGCGGUUUUGUAAGUCAGUGGUGAAAGCCCAUCGCUCAACGGUGGAACGGCCAUUGAUACUGCAAAGACUUGAAUUAUUAGGAAGUAACUAGAAUAUGUAGUGUAGCGGUGAAAUGCUUAGAGAUUACAUGGAAUACCAAUUGCGAAGGCAGGUUACUACUAAUGGAUUGACGCUGAUGGACGAAAGCGUGGGGGAGCGAACAGG